rnacentral:rRNA from 1 species
AUUGAACGCUGGCGGCAUGCCUUACACAUGCAAGUCGAACGGUAACAGGUCUUCGGAUGCUGACAAGUGGCGAACGGGUGAGUAAUACAUCGGAACGUGCCUAGUAGUGGGGGAUAACUACUCGAAAGAGUGGCUAAUACCGCAUGAGAUCUACGGAUGAAAGCAGGGGAUCGCAAGACCUUGUGCUACUAGAGCGGCCGAUGGCAGAUUAGGUAGUUGGUGGGAUAAAAGCUUACCAAGCCGACGAUCCGUAGCUGGUCUGAGAGGACGAUCAGCCACACUGGGACUGAGACACGGCCCAGACUCCUACGGGAGGCAGCAGUGGGGAAUUUUGGACAAUGGGCGAAAGCCUGAUCCAGCAAUGCCGCGUGCAGGAUGAAGGCCUUCGGGUUGUAAACUGCUUUUGUACGGAACGAAAAGCCCUGGGUUAAUACCCUGGGGUCAUGACGGUACCGUAAGAAUAAGCACCGGCUAACUACGUGCCAGCAGCCGCCGUAA